rnacentral:rRNA from 1 species
GAUGAACGCUGGCGGCGUGCCUAAUACAUGCAAGUCGAGCGAACAGAUGAGGAGCUUGCUCCUCUGACGUUAGCGGCGGACGGGUGAGUAACACGUGGAUAACCUACCUAUAAGACUGGGAUAACUUCGGGAAACCGGAGCUAAUACCGGAUAAUAUAUUGAACCGCAUGGUUCAAUAGUGAAAGACGGUUUUGCUGUCACUUAUAGAUGGAUCCGCGCCGCAUUAGCUAGUUGGUAAGGUAACGGCUUACCAAGGCAACGAUGCGUAGCCGACCUGAGAGGGUGAUCGGCCACACUGGAACUGAGACACGGUCCAGACUCCUACGGGAGGCAGCAGUAGGGAAUCUUACGCAAUGGGCGAAAGCCUGACGGAGCACCGCCGCGUGAGUGAUGAAGGUCUUCGGAUCGUAAAACUCUGUUAUUAGGGAAGAACAAAUGUGUAAGUAACUAUGCACGUCUUGACGGUACCUAAUCAGAAAGCCACGGCUAACUACGUG